rnacentral:rRNA from 1 species
AUUGAACGCUGGCGGCAGGCCUAACACAUGCAAGUCGAGCGAGCGGCGGACGGGUGCGUAAUGUAUGGGGACUGCCCGAUAGAGGGGGAAAACUACUGGAAACGGUAGCUAAUACCGCAUACUAUAGGAUAACCCAUAUGGGAUUAGCUAGUAGUUGAGGUAAGGGCCAUCGUAGGCGACGAUCCCUAGCUGGUCUGAGAGGAUGAUCAGCCACACUGGGACUGAGACACGGCCCAGACUCCUACGGAGGCAGCAGUGGGGAAUAUUGCACAAUGGGCGCAAGACUGAUGCAGCCAUGCCGAGUGUAGGAAGAAGGCCCUAGGGUGGUAAAGUACUUUCAGUCGGGAGGCGUUACCUACAGAAGAAGCACCGGCUAACUCCGUGCCAGCAGCCGCGGUAAUUC